rnacentral:rRNA from 1 species
UAGGGAAUCUUCCGCAAUGGGCGAAAGCCUGACGGAGCAACGCCGCGUGAGGGAUGAAGGUCUUCGGAUCGUAAAACUCUGUUAUGAGGGAAGAACAAAUGUGUAAGUAACUAUGCACGUCUUGACGGUACCUAAUCAGAAAGCCACGGCUAACUACGUGCCAGCAGCCGCGGUAAUACGUAGGUGGCAAGCGUUAUCCGGAAUGAUUGGGCGUAAAGCGCGCGUAGGCGGUUUUUUAAGUCUGAUGUGAAAGCCCACGGCUCAACCGUGGAGGGUCAUUGGAAACUGGAAAACUUGAAUGCAGAAGAGGAAAGUGGAAUUCCAUGUGUAGCGGUGAAAUGCGCAGAGAUAUGGAGGAACACCAGUGGCGAAGGCGACUUUCUGGUCUGUAACUGACGCUGAUGUGCGAAAGCGUGGGGAUCAAAAAGG